GCAUUGGUGGUUCAGUGGUAGAAUUCUCGCCUACCACACGGGAGGCCAAUUUUUGAUUUCCAGCCAAUGCA